rnacentral:rRNA from 1 species
GACGAACGCUGGCGGCGUGCUUAACACAUGCAAGUCGAACGGAAAGGCCCCUUUGGGGGUCCUCGAGUGGCGAACGGGUGAGUAACACGUGAGUAACCUGCCCUUGACUUCGGGAUAACUUCAGGAAACUGGGGCUAAUACCGGAUAGGAAUCCUUGCUGCAUGGUGGGGGUUGGAAAGCUUCGGCGGUUUUGGAUGGACUCGCGGCUUAUCAGCUUGGUGGUGGGGUAGUGGCUUACCAAGGCUUUGACGGGUAGCCGGCCUGAGAGGGCGACCGGCCACAGUGGGACUGAGAUACGGCCCAGACUCCUACGGGAGGCAGCAGUAGGGAAUAUUGCACAAUGGGCGGAAGCCUGAUGCAGCAACGCCGCGGGCGGGAUGACGGCCUUCGGGUUGUAAACCGCUUUCAGCAGGGGCGAAGCUUGUGGUGACGGUACCUGCAGAAGAAGCACCGGCUAACUCCGUG